UGUUUCCCGAUUUUGAAGGAUCUAAUUAAUUAUUUUAGUUACUGUUUUAUAAUUAUUAAUAAUUAUUAUUUGGUAGUGAAAUGUUAUUCGGCUUCAAUGGUUUCUGGUUUUUCAGGAAAUGAAUUUAAUUCAUAUAUUAUUAUUAUAUUUCUAUCUUUUUAGUUUUUAUUUUAUUAAUAUUAAUGUUGUGGGGGAUAAGCUCUUUAACAUAUUUUUAUAAUUUUUUUUAUUUAUUAAAUAAUGUUGGUUUUAUAAUAACUAUCAUUUUAAGUUUGUUAAAAUUUUAUUUUUUUAAAAUUUUGAUUUAUUAAUAUUUAAUUAUUUUACUGAAAUUUUUUAUUAAAUUGUUAUUUAUUUGUAAUUAUGAUGGAAUUAGUAAUUUUCUAUUUAUACUAUUAAAUCUUUGUUAAGAUUUUAAAAGGAACUAGGCAAAUAAAAGUGUUCCCGCAUGUUUAUCAAAAACAUCUUUUCUUGAAUUUUAAUAUGAGAUAUGACCUGCCCACUGAUAAAUUUGAAGGGCCGCGGUAUUUUGACCGUGCAAAGGUAGCAUAAUCAUUAGUCUUUUAAUUGUGGACUGGAAUGAAUGGUUGGACGAGGAAUAUACUGUUUCUUAUUAUUUUAUUGAAUUUAAUUUUUAAGUUAAAAAGCUUAAAUUUAUUUAUAGGACGAGAAGACCCUAUAGAGUUUAUAUACAUUAUUCUAUUUAUUUUGUUUGUUUAUUUUAUUUAGUAUUUAAUAUAUUUUAUUGGGGUGAUUGGAAGAAUUAAUUAACUCUUUUUGUUUAGAUAUACAUUAAUUUAUGAAUACUUGAU
rnacentral:rRNA from 1 species